GUAAAAUAAAAGCUUCGCUAUUUCUUCCCAGAAAAAACACCUAGCCCGAUCCCCUUUUCCUCGUCGAGCAGAGGAGCGCCGGCGCUGAUUCCCGGGUGGUUGAGGGGGAGGCGGUAGAUUGGAGGAGCCCGAUCCUCUCCAUCCUCUCUCUCGCGACCCGAUCCUCACGAACUCCUCCCGGUGACGCACCCGGCCUCCUCCAAUCGGUGAAAUGCCCCCUCCCACUCGUCGGAGAGCGUCGUUGCGCCUCCGCAGCCGCCGGACGCCAACAGCCCCUCCCCCCGCCACCGCAUCUCCACAGCCGCCGCACGCCACCGACCCCUCCGGAUCGCCGCAUCGCCAGGAUCUCAGCAGCCUGCCGGAUGCAGCCGCUGCGCUCGGAUCCCCGCGGCCUCCUGGAUCCGAUCGCCGCCGGGUUUCCCGCUCCAACGUCGGGCCGACCCAUAUCCACGACGAAGGCGAGCGCGCACUGCCUCCAUGCUCCUCAUUCAGGGCCGUUGGCCCUGACACCGUCACAGCGGGCCUCUUUCUCUCCAGCAGCUCGCUGCCGACCGCAUCCGGGACGGCCUCGACCUCCUGCUGCUAGCUGCUGGUGCUGGCUAUAGCUUGGACUAGAGCAGGAAAAUUGCAUCAAGGUAGCAGGUGGAUGAUGGUGUUUGUGCCUUUUCUCUUGAAUUGUUGCUGGUGAUGGCUGCAAUUUGAAGACGUCGGUUUUUUCUCUCCUUUCAUAUUCUGCAAUUGUGCUUCCCCUAUGCGUGAUGAUUCUAUUGCUUGGUGCAUUGUGGUUUGGGUUGUUUUACUGCUUGACAUUGAUCUGUGUGAGCCUGUGACAGUUGGAGAGAUGAUAGUAGCAAGUACAAACUCUCUUGAAUGGUUAGUUGAUAGUAUAGUGGUAAAUGUACUAUGAUCAUAUAAUAAAGCAGGAAAAAUUCAAGAUUUAUAUUGAGCUAUUGGACUCAUUUCUUCUAUUAGACUUGCUCAAACUUGCAUGAUGUUUUGAUAAGUAGAUGCCUCAUUUCUGCUAUUGGACUUGCUCAAUGGGUCGACACUCGACAGGCAAUUUGUAUACCCUAUUUUAUUUCUUCGGCAAGUUGGCUGCAGAAUCUAUGGGAAUUGUCUACAAACCUAGUAUGAGUUCCUACCUUUUAAUCUUUUUUUCUAAACAAAACCUGGAUUGCCUGGAUAUAGUAUGCAAUUUGCUUAGAUUAGAGCACAACUUGCCUACAACAACUGAAACAUUUGCCCAGGGGACACAACACAACUUGAUGUUCCACACAAUAUAGGUCCACUUUUUUUGCCUAAAACUUGUAGGCAAAUUGCCUACAAACCAAGUAGUAGGUGCUCCUAACUUCCACUACUUUUUUUCUGCGGCUAGCAAACCAAUGAGUUGGCUGCAGAAACUAUGGAAAUUGCCUACAAACCCAGUACGAAUUGCUACCUUUCAAUCCUCUUUUUCUAAACAAAGCUUAGAGUUGCCUGGAUAUGCUAUGCAAUUUUCUUAUAUCAGAGCACAACUUUCCUUCAACCACUGAUGCAUUGACACAACACAACUUGAUGUUCUACACAAUAUAAGUCCACAUUUUUUUCUCGCAACAUGUCAAAUUGCCUAUGAACCAAGUAGUAGAUUCUCCCGACUUCCAUUAUUUAUUUUUUCUUCGGUAUUCAAGCUAAUGAAUUGGCUACAAAAUCUAUGGAAAUUUCCUACAAACCCAGUGCAAGUUUAUAGUGGCUACUUAUAGUAGUUGCUCCUGACUUAGCGUUUUUCACUUGGAGCAGAGGGCAAAUAUAGAGGCUGAUUAUUGUAUCACGUACAGUACUACACAUGAACGGAUACUUGUAGUUGUACAACACAAACCAAUCUGCACAAGAGACGCAUACCCCCUUCCUCACUUUAACCUCAAAGCUUGGCCGUGCCCCACCUUUGUAUUUGCUUCGAUCCUGCAGCACUACCACAGAGGGCUAGAGGCCUACGACGGCUACAAAGAUCCCUCAUGCAGACUAGAAGCAUAAAAAUUGUUGCUAUGCUAAUCUAUGCCAUCCCCUGGCAGGGAGAGGAAGAUGAACAUGAGAGAGAGAGGGAGAGGGAGAGGGGGAGAGAGAGAGAGGGAGGGAGGGAGAGAAGAAGAUGAACAUGAGAGAGGGAGGGGGAGGGAAGAAGAUGAACAUGAGAGAGAGAGAGAGAGAAGAUGCAGUGGCGUUCAUGAUUCUGAGUCAUUUGUAUGGUUGCUACUACUUGUACUGCAAUGACUAUCCUAUCCUAUCAUAUUUGAAUAUUUGACUAGUAGUACCUGCUCUUGCUAGAGCAAACGAAAACCAUUGCUCAAAACGCUACCCCUAAUCACCUAAGUGUCGUAAAUAUUCUUGCCUAAAAAAAUUGUUUGUUUUGCUUGAAGGGCCUCACUAAAUUCUCAAAUAAUGUCAAAGCAACAUUUUCGAGGUUUUGUGCACACGCCCAAGCAAGAGGCUUCAACAUACACUUCCAGGGAUCAGGGCAUAGUGGCACACCCCCAAGUUGUCCAGAUAGAGAGGUGGCGCACGGAAGGUUCAAGUGCUGAUGGGUUGGGUGGAUGGAUCCUGCAGAAGAUGGAGGAGGGAGGGGUUGAUGGGGAAGAAAGGGUGGAGGAGGAGCGGGGAAGGGAGAAAAGUCUCCAGAGGUUUUGUGUUGUGUGUUCACACACACUGGGUUGCGUCGGUUACGAUUGGGAGAAAAGGGAAUCUGGCCAUGUGCACGAUCAGAUCGUUUCUUUCCUUUUUUGACGCCAGCUGGCAACAAGAGAGGGUCAACUAAUUUGUUUGUAAUACGAUGAUUCUCCUGCGCAUUCAGUGGUCACUGAUGGUUGGAGUGAUGCGCCUAUGGAAUGGUUGGGGGGGUCCAGAUCCUAGUGCUUGUUAGCUUCGUGCUGCAAGUGUUCCUGCUCAUGCUCGCCGGGAUGCGACGGCGGAACAUCUCCAUUGUCCCAAGGAACCUCCUCUGGCUAGCAUACCUGCUGGCAGACUACAUAGCGGUAUACAUCCUUGGCCACAUGACCUUCUUCGGCAAGUCGCACGUACACCAACAGCUCAUGGCGUUCUGGGUGUUAGACUUUGUAACGUAGCCUAACUGUGUAAUUUAUAUAUUGUGUAACCUUAUAAAUAUAUGUGAUAUGCCACCUCUAGAGGGUUGAGCCA